rnacentral:rRNA from 1 species
GAUGAACGCUGGCGGCGUGCCUAACACAUGCAAGUCGAGCGAUCUUCUUCGGAAGAGAGCGGCGGACGGGUGAGUAACGCGUGGGUAACCUGCCCUGUACACACGGAUAACAUACCGAAAGGUAUGCUAAUACGAGAUAAUAUGCCUUUAUCGCAUGGUAGAAGUAUCAAAGCUCCGGCGGUACAGGAUGGACCCGCGUCUGAUUAGCUAGUUGGUAAGGUAACGGCUUACCAAGGCGACGAUCAGUAGCCGACCUGAGAGGGUGAUCGGCCUCAUUGGAACUGAGACACGGUCCAAACUCCUACGGGAGGCAGCAGUGGGGAAUAUUGCACAAUGGGCGAAAGCCUGAUGCAGCAACGCCGCGUGAGCGAUGAAGGCCUUCGGGUCGUAAAGCUCUGUCCUCAAGGAAGAUAAUGACGGUACUUGAGGAGGAAGCCCUGGCUAACUACGUGCCAGCAGCCGCGGUAA